rnacentral:lncRNA from 1 species
UGUAAGUGAAAUGAAUGUUGUGCAUUUUAUGUUAAAGGACGGUCUACAAUAAUAAGGUGUGGGGCAAUAGGAGACACUGUGAUUCACAUAUCAUUGAAAACCAAAAUACUAGAAGACCUUAAAUUUUAAAGAAUGCUGGCAAACGUUUAAGUGAUCAGCACAAGUGGUUUACAACAAACCUAAUGGACCACAUGUUGAGUAUCUUGACAUAAGAGCAAAUUCAUAUCGUACAAGUCAUUCAACACACGUUUCUUGAGAACAAGGCAAGUCUCAGAAAGUGCCAUCGCAUCACCAACAUUCUCAAGAGUAGAGAGGAGGAGCAAGGCGGCAUAAGUGAUGAGUGAAGUUGAAGUCUGCACGCCUGUAUAUGUA